UCUGUGCCCCUCUGUGCUAGAGGGCAGGCUGAAGGUGACACCUGCGAAGCUCAGAUGCAGGGUCUGAGAGCUGUCCCCUCUCCCAGUAGGGAGCAAAGCAGCCAGCGUGGCGGUUAAGUGGUGGCUACGAGCACAGGUGCCCAGGUUUGAAUCCCGGUCCUGCUUCUCACAUCCCUUCAUUGGCUGUAAUGGGCGUCAUGAAAUCAUCUGCUUCAUAUCUCGCUGUGAAGCCCAUGUGAUAAAAAUAAGUAAAUACAUGUGACCUGCUCAGAACAGGGCCUGGUGUCAGAAGUCAGAGCUCAUCAUCACAGCAGCUGGGACAGGCCUUCAUCCUGGAACUUCUCUCCUGUCCUCUGCCAUUUGUUCACGUGCUUGUCUCCCCCAUGAGGUCUCUCUCCUGAGGACAAACCAAUUUAAUGAGACAAAUGUAAAAAUGAAUAAAAGGAAAACCCCAGAGCAAACAGCACAUGGCAAGCGUGGCCGGGGACAUCCUCGGACAUCAAAGGCUCGCCAAGGCUCCGAGGUGCAUCAAAGAUGCCGAGAAACAAACAUGCAGCGGCCGCCCCUCUCCUGGGGCCAAUCAUUAAGACAAAGGUCCACCAAUGGCUAAUGGGACCGCUUCCCAGAAGUACAGCAAAACAUUGCAGACAAUUAUUCAAAUGAUCAUGAGUAAGAACUUGGCUUUGGGGUCAGGCUAGUUUAAAAUCUCACCUCCACUGCUUACUCCCUGCAGACCUCUGGUACGUUUGGCUGUGUUGAGUGUGGUUAAGAGUAUGGGCUUCCAUGUCCAAGCUCCCGGGAUUAAAUCAGUGGUGUCCUGUACCGGCUUGUACACCUCACAAGAACUGAUUGUUAAAUUUUCAAGGAUUUUGGGAGCAAAAAAUUUAUUUAACACAUUAAAUAACUUUAUAACUGAAUCACUCAUAUUAAAAACAAAGGUAAUAAAUGUUAAAAAAAAAUCGCUGCUCCCUAAUUAUUUUACCACUAUCUAUGCUCUGAGGUUAUUUACAUCCACUGUGCCUGUACAUGGAAAUACUACACAAUAGUGUGCACUGCACAUCUGUCCCCAACUCUCUAUUUGGCGACAUCACUUUGGCAGCUUGAAAUCAGCCAUAACGGGAAUAUUUACACCAUGGAAAGUGGCAAACACGAUAAACCAUGGCUUGAUUUAUUGUUUUCUUGAUGGUCUAGAUGUGAGAAAGCAACAGAGAGAAUGUUAAUGAGGCAGGUACAGCUUGUGUGUGGUUAUCACAUUGUAGUUAUUACGUAGUGAAAAUCAUAAAAACCCCCACAAAACCUAAGGAAAUACUCACUGUAUUUGAAAGCUCUGACCUGAUUCAGCAAAAAAGUCCCUCCUGUUACUGAAGAGAGAGAGAAGCUCC